CAGGGAAUCUUGCACAAUGGGCGAAAGCCUGAUGCAGCGACGCCGCGUGAGGGAAGAAGGCUCUAGGGUCGUAAACCUCUUUUCUAAAGGAAGAGAAUGGACGGUACUUUAGGAAUAAGCCACGGCUAACUACGUGCCAGCAGCCGCGGUAAUACGUAGGUGGCAAGCGUUGUCCGGAAUUACUGGGCGUAAAGGGCCUGUAGGCGGCAUGGUAAGUCCGUAGUGAAAUCUCCCGGCUUAACUGGGAGCGUGCUAUGGAUACUGCCAAGCUAGAGAUCAUCAGAGGAGAGCGGAAUUCCCGGUGUAGUGGUGAAAUGCGUAGAUAUCGGGAGGAACACCAGUGGCGAAAGCGGCUCUCUGGGGUGGUUCUGACGCUGAGGGGCGAAAGCGUGGGGAGCAAACCGG
rnacentral:rRNA from 1 species